rnacentral:sRNA from 1 species
UCUAACAGUCUACCUUAGGGGAGGAGUU